rnacentral:rRNA from 1 species
UACGGAGGGUGCAAGCGUUGCUCGGAAUCACUGGGCGUAAAGCGUCCGCAGGCCGAUGCGCAAGUCGGAUGUGAAAGCCCGGGGCUCAACCCCGGAACUGCAUUCGAAACUACGCGUCUCGAGUACGGGAGAGGAAAGCGGAAUUCCUGGUGUAGAGGUGAAAUUCGUAGAUAUCAGGAGGAACACCUGUGGCGAAAGCGGCUUUCUGGCCCGAUACUGACGCUCAUGGACGAAAGCGUGGGGAGCAAACAGG